rnacentral:lncRNA from 1 species
CCUUCAGCCAUACCUUGUAAUGAAGAAAAAUAGGCACAAAUACUAAGGAAGAAAAUCAUCAGGAAUGGACAACAAGCCAGAUGAGUAGUACAGACUGAGCCAGCACUAAAGAGACUGAGAGGCAGAAGGGUCAGAAGUUCAAAGUCAGCAUGGGCUGUACAGCAAGUUCAAGACUAACCUGGUCAAAUAGGAAGACCCAGACUUAAACAAAUAAAGCAAGCAAGCAAAGGCCUUUCCAGUGAACUUCACCUUCCCUGAAGGUCUGUGCUGUGACUGCCUUCACACAGGAGUGCAAUAACUUGGACUGGAAGACAUGCAAGCAAGAGGUUUUGCUGCUGACACUGACUGUGGACAUCACAGUCCAGAUCUUCUGCCUUUGAAUAUGGACUUAGACCAGGAAGUCUCCAAGGGGCUUCCAGGCUUUCAACUUGGUCUGAGGCUGUUCUGAUUGAAGGGAUCAGACCCUCACCCAGCUCCCUGCGUUAGCAGCCAUGACAGGCUGCAGAAAAGACCCAGCAAGAUGUAGGCCUCUGACUCAGCACAGGUGGCUAACUUUCCAGCCUUCUGACAUUGCCAGAUCUGC